rnacentral:misc_RNA from 1 species
UAAUCAUUUUAAUGUGUAAAGUAACUCAAUCACUUGCAUAAGCCCAUAUUAAAAUGAAAUUAAUGUAUUUUGCCUAGCACUCUGUUCAAAUUUAAUAUAAAGCAUGUAGCCAAAUGCAGGAAAUAAGUGAAAGGAUAAAUAUGUCACUAAAGUUUAAUUAAGGAAUGUGGAACUGAAGUGUGAAUUACACCUCCUUUUGGAAAUGAUGAAACAUUUAAAGACAAUAUUCAAUAACAUAAGGUCUCGCAAGUAUUUAUUGUGAAUGGCAAACAAAAACAAAUUCUCUGACCUGUUACAUAAAUAGUUAGGCAUUCAGAUUUUCCAAAUUUUUGAGAAUAAUUCUAGAAUACAAAGGUUGAGAGUUUUAAUGUGUUUCAUUAAGUUAUGUUAGUCUUUCCAUGAGUGUAUUAUUUUUCUUUUCCCUCAUGUUUUGCUUCACUUACAUUGGGAGGUUUUGUUAGAUUGCAAAGGAAAGGUUGUUUGUUUAAACCAUGGGAUAGAAAAAUAAAAAAAUAGAUGUUAGACAGUUCAGAAGGGAUGAGAGAGAUUUUAAAUAUUCCAUAUUUGGAUUGUCAAAAGAUAACAAAGGAAAUCACAAUAUCUAUUUUGACUAUUAUGCCUCAUUCAAAACUAAUUUUUGGCCUGAAAUUCUCAUAUAAAGCAUUGGACUUGCUUUUUUUAAAGAUUCCAUUUUAUUCAUAGAGUUCAAUUUGAGUUUCAGAUUGAUUACCAUAACAAGAAGCAUGCCAAAGUCCAAACAAAAUGAAUUCAACAAUAGUUAGCAAGUUUUUAAUAAUAAUGUGUAGAAUGCUAAUAUAGGCUUUAUCGCAUAUAGAGAUUCGUAUUCUUAAAUCUAUUCAAUACACACCAAUAUAAUACUAUCAUUAUAAUUUGAAUAAACAAUGAUGUUUUGCACUCAAUUCACUAUAUCAGAUUACGCUAGCAAAAAAUACAAUAUAAGCCCAAAAGUAAGUGAUCUUAAGCAUUUAUCAACUAUUGCAUUAUCAUAAAUGAACAAUUAUACAGAGACAAGGUGUGAAAUUGAUUAAAAAUUAAAAAGGAAAACGGAGAUAUAAAAAUUACAAACAUUUACAUUUUUCUCUGCGGCUAGAGGCAAGGAAGAAAGUAGUUUAGCAGCUUUCAUUCAAGUGUUGGCCCAGGAAGCCAAAAAGCUACCAAGUUAGAACAAUUUAAAAGAUGAGAAGGGGUGUGUGUGUGUGUGUUUAUAGUAUGGGGGACAUGGGAAUUUUGUUUCUUUUUUAUUUUCUUAAGGUAAUAAAAAAAAAAGUUAUUUUGGAGAAUAUUGAUCUUCAAAUGGUCAAUGGUCAUAUUAAAAAAAUUAAUAUGACUAGUCCUAUGUUAUCAUUUCUUUAAUUAAGAAUCCAAAGAAGG